rnacentral:rRNA from 1 species
GCCCAAGUUUGAAAGCUGGCGUCUUCGGCGUCCGCAUUGUAAACUCGAGAAGCGUUUUCCGCGCCGGACCAAGCUCAAGUCCCUUGGAAUAGGGCAUCAUAGAGGGUGAGAGUCCCGUACUUGGCUUGGAGUCCCCGGGGCUUUGUGAUACGCUCUCCAAGAGUCGAGUUGUUUGGGAAUGCAGCUCAAAAUGGGUGGUAAAUGCCAUCUAAGGCUAAAUAUCGAGGAGAGACCGAUAGCGAACAAGUACCGUGAGGGAAAGAUGAAAAGAACUUUGGAAAGAGAGUUAAACAGUACGUGAAAUUGCCGGAAGGGAAGGGUAGGGAGUCAGAUAUGCUGUGCGGAUUCAGCCUUGUCUUUGGACUUGGUGUAUUUUCGUAUUGGCAGGCCAGCAUCGGUUUGUGCCGCUGGAUAUAGGCUUGGGGAAUGUGGCUUUGUCUUCGGUCAAAGUGUUAUAGCCCCUUGCUGAGUACAGCGGCAUGGACCGAGGCACGCAGCGCACCCUCUGGGCGGGCCCUCGGGCACCUUUGCGCUUAGGAUGCUGGCUUAAUGGCUCUCUGCCACCCGUCUUGAAACACGGACCAAGGAGUCUAACAUGCAUGCGAGUCUUUGGGUGGUAAACCCAUGGGCGUAAUGAAAGUGAAUUUAGGUGGGAUCCCUCACGGGUGCACCAUCGGCCGACCUUGAACCUUUCAUGGGGACGGGUUUGAGCAAGAGCAUUCAUGUUGGGACCCGAAAGAUGGUGAACUAUGCCUGAAUAGGGUGAAGCCAGGGGAAACUCUGGUGGAAGCUCGUAGCGGUUCUGACGUGCAAAUCGAUCGUAAAAUUUGGGUAUAGGGGGCGAAAGACUAAUCGAACCAUCUAGUAGCUGGUUCCUGC